GCUUGCUGGUGCGAAGGAGCAAAGGUGACAUGUAUAUAGUGUGUGAGAAGGAGGAAAGGUGACAUAAAAUAAGGAAAGGCAUAAGAAAUGAGGGGUUUGUUUCGUGUGGAGUGAAAGGAAGAGAUAGAAAACUGUGUUUCUGUUGUUGAGAGAGUGAGAAUUGGGAGGCAAAUGAAGAGGGAGUGAGAGAUUUAUAAUUCCUGGUGGUCUUGGUUGGGGUGAAGAAAAGGAAAGGAUAAAUUAGUCGUCAACACGCAUGCAGGGAGAGGUCGGUUAGUGGAGGGAGGCGCAUUGGCAUUGCUCACCAAUGCCUUUCUGCUUUAUUGAUUUCUUUCUAGUACUAGAAGCCUAAUGUUACUGUCUAAGAAAGAAAGGUCUCUUGGAGCUUUAUAACUGGCUUCAAGGGCAUCUUCCAGCUAAUAUGACAGUGGAUCAUGAAAUGUAUUUUGUAGAAUGUGUUGACUUUGUCAAAUCCUUCAUCCAACUGUAUAUCAAAGAGGAUGAUGUAUUAUUCAAAGUGCUCUUGCAUCUGCUUUGUGUACCUUGUUGUGCAGAACAGGAUGAAAGGGAAAAGGUUUCAUUGGAGGAUUCGAAUGGCAAUUUACUUUUCCGUGUCUCAGAUCUUUUCAAUCCUGUACUCUUGUUCCAUCUUUUCCUA